CGGAAGAUGUAACGGGGCUAAACCAUGCACCGAAGCUGCGGCAGCGACACUAUGUGUUGUUGGGUAGGGGAGCGUUCUGUAAGCCUGCGAAGGUGACCUGUGAGGGUUGCUGGAGGUAUCAGAAGUGCGAAUGCUGACAUAAGUAACGAUAAAGCGGGUGAAAAGCCCGCUCGCCGGAAGACCAAGGGUUCCUGUCCAACGU
rnacentral:rRNA from 1 species